rnacentral:tRNA from 1 species
AAUUAUAACAUUUAAGUUGCAUUUAAAAAGUAUUGAAUUUCAAUUUAUCUUA